rnacentral:rRNA from 1 species
GUGCCAGCCGCCGCGGUACUACGGAGGGUGCAAGCGUUGUCCGGAAUCACUGGGCGUAAAGGGUGCGCAGGCGGGGCAGCAAGUCGGAGGUGAUAGCCCGUGGCUCAACCACGGAAGUGCCUUCGAAACUGUUGCUCUUGAGUCCCGGAGAGGUUGCCGGAAUUCGUGGUGUUGCGGUGAAAUGCGUAGAUAUCACGAGGAACACCAGAGGCGAAAGCGGGCAACUGGACGGGGACUGACGCUCAGGCACGAAAGCGCGGGGAGCAAACAGGAUGAGAACCCCAGUAGUCC